GAGGAGACAAGACUGGACUACAUGGAUCAAGGGAGAAGAACUCCAGCCAUGUCAGAUAGAAGAAAACUUUCCAGAAUAACUUUCUGAAGUAUUGGAGCCCUUGGUAAUCGUGAGUAAUUACACACGUAGUUCCUCUGACUGACCAAACUAAAAGCCUGAACUCAAACAGGAAGAUUCUGACUGCUGUGUUGUACAACUUCCAACUCUAGUUUGAAAUUGUUCUUGAUCUCCACCCCCCUCAAGAUUCAGAAUUGGGAUUAGUCAGUUUAGACACAGAGCUAGAAAAAUGACACUUUUGUUAAUGAAAUUAAAAUAGCCCAUGUGCCUAAGAAAUAAGAAAGCAAAGAAUCUUCUUAUAAGGG
rnacentral:lncRNA from 1 species